GACGAACCGUGCAAACGUUAUUCGGAAUCACUGGGCUUAAAGGGCGCGUAGGCGGGCUCCCAAGUCGGUGGUGAAAUCUUUCGGCCCAACCGGAAAAGUGCCGCCGAUACUGGGAGCCUCGAGGGAGGUAGGGGUCGAGGGAACUCUAGGUGGAGCGGUGAAAUGCGUAGAUAUCUGGAGGAACGCCGGUGGCGAAAGCGCUCGACUGGACCAUUACUGACGCUGAAGCGCGAAAGCUAGGGGAGCAAACGGG
rnacentral:rRNA from 1 species